CAGGACUCCUUAUUUUAUAUAAGACGAGGAGUGGUUUAUUUUUCUAUGGUUGUUAUAUCAUCUCGUCUUAGACGUGUUAGAAUAUGCUUGAAGUACAAGGACUUUUAUGGAAUUCAUUGACAUUAUAGUCAAGCAAGAUGUCAACAUCCCGUCCAACUGUCUUCCAGCAAAGCCAAAGCUGACCAAGGAUCUUCACCAUUUCAUGACAGGCUGUAUACAGGAUGAGUUAUUCCACUAGGAACAGGUACAACUCUUAACAGUCAAUGUUCAUUAGUUCCUUAUAUAGUCAAUCUGAAAUUAGGGGACCAAUAUUUUAAUACAUUAGCCAGAUUAAAAAGGGGGAGGGGUUGAAAGGGCAUGUGAAUAUUCAUUUACACCUGACCUGUUUCUAGGACAUCUUAUCUAUAAUCUAUUUUCUAUAGCCAAGUGCAAACAUGUUUACUGUAAAUUCAUAAAUUAUUGCAUUGUUUUUAUUAUUGCAAUGUUUUUAUUAUUGCGUAAAAUGAGAAAGGGGGUAUAAUUGCAAUAAUUAAAACUCACAUUUUGAGUUUCUUUUAUAUGAAUCAAACAGGACAUUUCUGAAAAUCGCAAAACUUAAAAUCACAUUUCAGUCUUAAAUUAUAAAAUCGCAAUAAUAACUCCACACAAUAUUUUUUUGAAUUUACAGUAUAUCCCUUAUAUUAAUGUACGUCAUGGCAUGAGUCUUGAGACCAUUUGAUUACAAAAAAGAAAGGGGAAGGGUUAGAAUGGUCAAAAUAUUUAUGUGCAUGUCAGAUAAGGACAGAAUUUAAAUUGUUAACUUAUUAACCAGGGUAUAAUAUACAUAAUUCAUGUAUAUUAUUUUUUUGCUUAAAAAAACAAUUUAUAGACCAUAAGCAUGAUAAGCAUGCUUAUGGUCUAUAUGCCUCGUAUGUCUCGUGAGAUGAAUUGUCGCAUGGGGUCGGACUCAGCUUUCCAGGUUAUCCCAUUACUGGGUUUUGCGCCUGUCCCAAGUCAGGAGCCUCUGGCCUUUGUUAGUCUUGUAUUAUUUUAAUUUUAGUUUCUUGUGUACAAUUUGAAACUAGUAUGGCUUCAUUAUCACUGACUAGUAUAUAUUUGUUUAGGGGCCAGCUGAAGGACGCCUCCGGGUGCGGGAAUUUCUCGCUACAUGAAGACCUGUUGGUGACCCUCUGCUGUUGUUGUUUUUUAUUUGGUCGGGUUGUUGUCUCUUUGACACAUUCCCCAUUUCCAUUCUCAAUUUUAUGAUAAUAAUCAAAAUUUAUUUCAACAUGUUCAACAUUAAAAAGGACAAUAUGUUUUUAUUCCCUUACCCUAAGUUAUAUUUUAAGUUUUUAAUGGAAGUAGUACAUGUUCAUCUCUUUGUUUACUAAAAAAGCUUUUAUCUCAUGGAAAAGCCUCAUACAAAUACAUGUUUUACAUACAACAUACUGUACAUAAAACACUAGACAACUUUAUCCAGAGAAUAAUCUUAUUUAAUGAUCUAUUAUACAAUGUAGGCCAAGGAGACUAAAAAAUCAAGAGCAUUGCAAACUUUUGUAAAGUUAUAUUUUGGGACCUUACAUGUACAUUGAUGUACAUGUAUGUAAUGUAUGCAGAUUAUUUAAAGAGCCCUCAGCCCUUUUCAAAAGAAACAAAAAAUACAUGUACAGUGAUGCUACACUACCCUAUAUUUUCUGUGAUACAAAAUUGAAGAAUUAUUUUAUAGUUUAACAGUUUUCAUUUGUAGGGCUAUAAUAGAUGCAAGCAAUGCUGAUGAUUUUUUUGUGAAUUUGACAAUAGCCAGGUCAAACUAAAUACAUGUAUAGAACAAGAUACUG
rnacentral:lncRNA from 1 species